GUUACUUAUUUUUAACUUAACCUCAGAAGCUGACCCACAUCUUCGUUUUAUUUUUUUUCUUUAAAACAGAAGUCAACAUUUUGGUAUCCCUUCUGCCGGGCAAAUGCUUCAUUCUUUUGAGUGGGUGAUUGGGGAGAUGAUAUUUUUGCCCCCAAAUGUGGAAAUGUAGUCAACUAUAUCUACUGAAUAUAUAUUAUUUCAGAGAGGAAGGGAGAGGGAGGGAGGGAGGGAGGGAUAGAAACAGUGAUGAUGAGAAAGAAUUCUUUAUUGGCUUCCUCCUGCACGCCCCCUUCUGGAGAUUGAGCCCGCAGCCCACGCAUGUGCCCUGACCAGGAGCCACAUCCAACGGUGCUGCUUUUGCUUUUGUUCUCAUCACUUACAAACGCAUCGGGACUGUCCAUUUAUGUCCACAAACCCUACCCUGCAGCAUGCCUGCUACCCAGUUCUGCUUCCUACAUGUCUACCCGGACUUACUUAGCCAAGCCCCUAGCAGUGAGGGGCAUGUUGCAGGUGGUCUGUGUUGACCCAGAUAGAUGCUCACGUGGUGGUUCCGUUAGAGCAAUGCAUCACUUACAGUCUGCCCCGGUCUGUCCCAGGUGAGUGUGCUCACAGCCCCCCUCUCCUUUCCC